GGAUGAUUAGCUCAGCUGGUUAGAGCGCUGCAUUCACAUUGCAGAGGUCACUGGUUCGAUCCCAGUAUCAUCCACCA
rnacentral:tRNA from 1 species